rnacentral:rRNA from 1 species
CCUGCCAGUAAUCAUAUGCUUGUCUUAAAGACUAAGCCAUGCAAGUCUAAGGAUAAAUAACUUUAUCGUAAACCUGCAAACGGCUCAUUAAAUCAGUUUAAAUCUACUCGGUUAUAUAAUUUUAAUUGGAUAACUGUAGUAAUUCUAGAGCUAAUACAUGCAAAAAACCCAAACGUAAGGAUGGGUGUAAUUAUUUGACGUCAAAAUCAAUACGGGCAUUCAACUUAGAUUAUAGCAAUAUUUUCUAGGGUCCGUUUUGUUUAUGAUUAAAAAUAAAUUUACGAAUCACGAUUUAAUUCUGUGAUAACACGAACGAUAUUCUGCCCUAUCAACUUUCGAUGGUAAGGUAGAGGCUUACCAUGGUUAUUACGGGUAACGGGGAAUUUGGGUUUGAUUCCGGAGAAAAGGCCUGAGAGACGGCCAUUACUUCUAAGGAAGGCAGCAGGCGCGUAAAUUACCCAAUCCUAAUCCGGGGAGGUAGUGACGAGAAAUACUUGUAUUGGCUCCAAUGGAGACAAUGAUAGGAAUGAGAACAACGUAAAUAACUUAACGACUAACAAUUGGAGGGCAAGUCUGGUGCCAGCAGCCGCGGUAAUUCCAGCUCCAAGAGUGUAUAUUAAAGUUGUUGCAGUUAAAACGCUCGUAGUUGGCUCUCGACUCAGUCGCUUAAAAUAAUAAUUAUAUUAUUAUUUGACUUGACUGAGCCUACUUAUAAGGAUGAAAAUUCUUAUUAGUUUACUGUGAACAAAUUAGAGUGUUUAAAGCAGGCUCGCGCCUAGAUAUUUCAGCAUGGAAUAAUAUAAUAUGACAGUAGUCUAAUUUUGUUGGUUUAUUAGAUUAUUGUAAUGAUUAAUAGGGACAGUCGGGGUCACUUGUAUUAGCUCGCUAGGGGUGAAAUCCUAUGAUUGAGUUAAGACAAACUACUGCGAAAGCAUUUGACCAGUAUGUUUUCUUUAAUCAAGAACGAAAGUUGGGGGAUCGAAGAUGAUCAGAUACCGUCGUAGUCUCAACCGUAAACGAUGUCGACUUAGGAUUAGGUAAUAUUACAUGGAUGAUUUACCUAGCACUAUGUGAGAAAUCAUAAGUAUUCAGACUCUGGGGGGAGUAUGGUCGCAAGACUGAAACUUAAAGGAAUUGACGGAAGGGCACCACCAGGCGUGGAAUCUGCG